rnacentral:rRNA from 1 species
UACAGAGGGGGCAAGCGUUGUUCGGAAUUACUGGGCGUAAAGGGCGCGUAGGCGGCCUGCUAAGUCGAACGUGAAAUCCCUGGGCUCAACCCAGGAACUGCGUCCGAUACUGGUUGGCUUGAAUCCGGGAGAGGGAUGUGGAAUUCCAGGUGUAGCGGUGAAAUGCGUAGAUAUCUGGAGGAACACCGGUGGCGAAGGCGGCAUCCUGGACCAACACUGACGCUGAGUGAGCGAAAGCCAGGGGAGCAAACGGG